rnacentral:tRNA from 1 species
GGGCCAUUAGCUCAAUUGGUAGAGCAGCUGACUCUUAAUCAGUAGGUUCAAGGUUCAAGUCCUUGAUGGCCCACCA